AACAAUAUGGAAGAAAAUUGCAACAUACAAAUGGUAUGGGUAGAAUCAAUAUAAAUUAUAUUUGAGCUAAGAUUUGAAAAAUUAUCUUGUUUGGAUUAAUUGUGUCCCUACCUUUCUCCUUGACUCUGUAUGCAACAUCUUUGUAAUCACUCUGAAUAAUAUCGUCCAUCAGUGAAGCGUCACGUGUGACGCCGAGCUAGUCAAC
rnacentral:lncRNA from 1 species